CAGGCUGGAGUGCAAAGGUACGAUCUCGGCUCACUGCAAUCUCCGCCUCCCGGGCUCAAGUGAUUACAGGCAUGAGACACCGCAUCCAGCCAAAUAAAUUUACAGCAGUCAUCACUGACGUCUUCUGUGUACCAAUGCUGUGCCAGACGCUGAGGCUCUCUACAUGUUACCUGAAGGCAAACAGCAUCCCAGCCAGCAGGCAGGCCUCCACUGAGCUCAGCGUCCUCUGGAGUGACUGACUUAUUCCAGGUCAUAUUGCUGGUAAAUGUCGGAACUAGGAUCUGAAUCGUCAUGAACUCCCUGAGCCUCCAUUUUCUUCUCUGAAGAAAAAAAAAAAAAAAUAGUGACAGGAUUUUAUUGAAUUGUUUUGAAUAUUAAGUAAAAUUUCAU